CUCCAAUAUGGGGGCACCAUGUGGCACCCCUGUUUUUAACCCAGUCCCCGACCCGGGACAGGGAGAUUUAUUCUGGGAAGAAAAUCAAGACAAUUAUGUUUUAGAUGUGUUGGAUCAAAGAAAAUGGAAUUUGAAUUACAUAAUGAACACUUGUCAUCAUUAUGAUCACACAGAUGGCAACAUGGACUUAAAAAAGAAAGGUAUGGUGCUAAGUUAUGGUUAAUAAUUUUGAAGCUUUUGAUACUACCUUAAGCUUUUCUGUCAUUCAAUUCUGUCUCGUCCCCUUCCUCUCUCCCUAUAUCAAUUGUAGGUGAUGCAGAUUGUUGAAUGAUGGUGUUAUAUGAAGUUUUUUUUUUUUUUUUUUUUUUUUCUUCCUCUUGUUAGAGAUCACAAUAUUACUUUAGCUAUAUAUUUAUUUUUGACUGGGCCACUGAGGUACAACAAUACAGACUUGUUCUAUGAUCUGAAUGUAAAUGUUCUUUACAACGAUUGCAUGGGGAGUGUCCGCUAGACUUGAAAGAAGCAAUUUCCUGUGUACGUUUUGCUGCCCGAUCUCCCAGAGUUGAUGUAGGUUCAAAUACUGUUUGCUGGCAAAUAAGGAAAAGAAUUUGUUUUUCCCUGCAACUGAGAUUAGGCCGGAAUGAAGUGUAAAUAGUCAGGUUGAAUAAUUUGUCAUCUUAUGGAAAUUUAUUCAGAAUUUGAAACUUUUUAAUUUUAUUUCUCUUAUUUCUUGUGACACUUUUUACACUUAUAGUUGGUGGAGCAUUUAUCCGUUCGAGCUACAACUCUUAAUGUGAAACUGAAGCUGCUCAAGGAAAUUGCUGAAGUGAGGCUAGACAGGAUUCCAGUGCGUUCGGAACUGAAUUGCUGAAGCCACAUGAAGACUUACUGGUAUAGAUUACUUCUCAUCGCCUUACGUCCAUUUAUACCUUCGUGCCUGAUGUGCGUGCCUUUCCUUUCCAGAGAGGUCCGAUACAAUUUAUCAGUGGUUCUAAGUUGCCCUUCAAUAGUGAGAAACUUGAUGAACCACUGUAUUCCCGCACCCAAACAAGAUAAGGAGAAACAAUCUGAUUCUGAUGCGAAUUUUGAAAUACUAGAUUUUCCAGAAGUUACUAAGUCAGUCAGUAGAAGUGUUGCUGAAGAAAUCAGUUAGCAAUGCUAGUAAAUGAAUGUGUUAAACAAGGAACUAAAAGUGUCACAGGGAUUGCAAUAUGCAAGCUAAGUAGAAGACUUCUUCUUGCUGAAAGAAGAAUUACCACUUAAUGGAAAUCACAUUUGGAGAUUAAAAUAGUUGGCUGAAGUUCAGAUUUGUAUUUACUGAAGGACAGCAACCAGAAAUUACCUUCAAGAGCUUUAGCAGAUACAAAGACAUAUUGUGGGGACAGAAUAAGGUAUUAUCAACUUCUAAUACCAGUAAAACUUGCCUGGGUAAAUGUUAGGAAAUUAGAGUUUUGAAUUUUUUAACUUUACAUUAUUUCUACGAUCUAAUAAAUUGUAUCACUUUGUUAAUUUUCAGAUUUAAAUGCAUCUUUUGGUUCGACGGAUGUGUUUUCCAAACAGGUCGCAAGAGUUCAAGAAAUUUUCUUUUGAAGAACUAGAAUGAGAUAUUCUGAUUUAAUUUUGUUUAUUGCACUUUUAAGCAUAUAUUGCUCUUAGUAUUUAAUAUGGACGGAACAUAAUUAUAUUUCUCAAGUGAACAGUUACAUUUGUAUAUUUCUGCAAUACAAUAUUGAUACAUGAU
rnacentral:lncRNA from 1 species